rnacentral:lncRNA from 1 species
UGCCUUGUUUUUAUUUAAGUUUUUUCAAGUUUUCGCAAUUUAAUCUAUUUUAUUUUUAUGACAAAGUUUGUCAUACGUUUUAACUUCGUUUUGGCCUUCUUUUGUCACAAUUUUUUCUUGCACUUUACCCCAUCCUGAGCUUGAUUUUGGAUAUCCAACGCCUCGGUCGAUCUGAAGCUGGUUGCCUGUGCUCCACCGCUGCUGUUUUUGGGCUACUCGAUGUCUCUCUCCCUCUCCUUCAUCCUGUCGGCGGAUUUGACGCUGACCAGCAGCUAGGUUAGUCGGUUGACUAAUAACUAGCCCUCCCAGGGAGAUUGAGGCUUUGCGCUGUGCUUUGCCUGAGCUGCUGUAGCCUACUAAACAUGGGAUAUAUCUACACCGCGGAGCAGCUCCAACAGCUUGCCUCCUAUGCCAUCAGUUCCAUCGAUGAAGAUGUACUCCAGCUUUGCCAGGUUACGGGGAUCCGUCGGAGGAAGCGCUACAUACACAGAGGGUCUCGUCGCUCCUUCAAGAUCUACAAUCGAGCAACGGAGGAUGCCAUACCGACUAUCCAGUCUCGGCGCGGCUCUCCUGGACGAUCCUCUCCUGUAGGCAACUCUGCCCCCCGCAAGGAAGUCUUCCAUCAACACUUCACAGGCCGGAAUGAUCUCUCCCUGGCUCGUUGUUCGUGGGAUCCGAGGUUCCCCUGCCAUGUAGGCCUAUCCAUCACCCCGCACCGACCUCAAACACCUGUCAGCUCUGCUCGUCCGAGAUUGCGGAUCCGUAGCGGUGGGGUGAAUCCCCUGAACAUCCGCCCUCUGGAAUACUGCCGUCACCCCCAGACUGUGAUUCACUCCACAGCAAAAGCCGCCCUGGUCAACAGCAGGUCUGUGUCGAACAAAACUUUCGUUUUAAAUGACUUUUUCUCUCGUCACAAUCUGGACUUCCUAUUUUUAACCGAGACUUGGAUAGGCGCUGGAGUUGGUCAGUCUUCUGUUUUCAGCGAACUUUGCCCCACCAACUGCUCGUUUAUUAGCAUGCCAAGGUGCGUUGGAAGAGGAGGCGGAGUAGCUCUCGUUUUCAAGAAUGAUUUUAAAGUACGGACACUCUCUGUAGGCAGUUUUUCCACUUUCGAACUGCAAUGCAUAAUUGUAGAAUCUGCCACGUCCCCACUGGCUAGUGUUCUGAUCUAUAGACCCCCUAAGCCUGACAAAGACUUUAUAACAGAAUUCUCUGACUUUCUGUCCCAUUUUGUG